rnacentral:piRNA from 1 species
GAGACCUCAUAACCUCAGAUGAGGGCCUG